GUGGGGAAUAUUGGACAAUGGGCGAAAGCCUGAUCCAGCAAUGCCGCGUGAGUGAUGAAGGCCUUAGGGUUGUAAAGCUCUUUUACCAGGGAUGAUAAUGACAGUACCUGGAGAAUAAGCUCCGGCUAACUCCGUGCCAGCAGCCACGGUAAUACGGAGGGAGCUAGCGUUGUUCGGAAUUACUGGGCGUAAAGCGCACGUAGGCGGUUACUCAAGUCAGAGGUGAAAGCCCGGGGCUCAACCCCGGAACUGCCUUUGAAACUAGGUAACUGGAAUCUUGGAGAGGUCAGUGGAAUUCCGAGUGUAGAGGUGAAAUUCGUAGAUAUUCGGAAGAACACCAGUGGCGAAGGCGACUGACUGGACAAGUAUUGACGCUGAGGUGCGAAAGCGUGGGGAGCAAACAGGAUUAGAAACCCGAGUAGUCC
rnacentral:rRNA from 1 species